rnacentral:rRNA from 1 species
GACAGAGGGUGCAAACGUUGUUCGGAUUUACUGGGCGUAAAGCGCGUGUAGGCGGCUUUGCAAGUCGGAUGUGAAAUCCCACGGCUCAACCGUGGAAGUGCAUCCGAAACUGCAUCGCUGGAGUCUCGGAGAGGAAGGUGGAAUGCUUGGUGUAGAGGUGAAAUUCGUAGAUAUCAAGCAGAACACCUGCGGCGAAGGCGGCCUUCUGGACGAUGACUGACGCUGAGAUGCGAAAGCGUGGGGAGCAAACAGG